UGAUUCCACAUCUGCAUCAAUCAAAAGUCCCAUUUCUGCACCAAUCAAAAUGCCCAAUUUCUUAUUACCAACGCACCCUUUCACAACUCAGACAAACGAACAAAUCCCAAUGUCGUUAUCGUUCACUCACAGAACAAAACCCAAUCUCAGGAAGAUGCCAUUGGAAGGAUUCAUCUCAUUUGCCAAAGAGGUUAUGAAAACCUAUGAUGUUAUCUUCAGUUCAAAUUCACCAUAAGUCCUUUCUAUCUCCAUUUUCAUCUCUGUAUGUGUUUUCGGCAUUUCCUAUAGAAUUUAUUUUUUCUUUUCCCCUUCUUCCUAACAUGAAAUUUGGUCUCCGAUGAUGAUGGAACACAAAUCCUAACAAAACGUUGCUGGUGACUUCAGUUCUUCCAUCUAAACCUCUUCUCAGAUUGCUCAAGCAUUGAAUUUAUCCUGUUGUUCGAAGAGCUGGAUUCUGGGGAUCGGUUCGGACUCUAGCUCGUGGAUAUGAGAUUUUGAUGGGAUUGCUUCUAUUCUUUUCUGGCAUGGUUUCCAGCUAUGUCCGAGUUCCAAACUCGUAUGUUGUUCAACCAAGCAUUCAGUAGAGGUCUUCAGACUUCUCGUAUUCUAGGUGGUCCUCUAGGAACAAGGAUUAGAAUUAAAGGCAUGAAUCGCUACAUCAACAUUAAUCCUUCAAUCUUGUCAUUGUUCAUUCCCAUUGUAAGGUGGCUUUGUGAUUAUGUAGUGUUAAUGGCAGCACUUCUUGACAAUCCAAAUUCUAUUUUGUAUGUACCUGUAUAGCAAAUUCCUAUUGAAAUGAAUGUCUAAACAUCAUUACCUUCAAUUGCA